rnacentral:rRNA from 1 species
AUACGGAGGGGGUUAGCGUUGUUCGGAAUUACUGGGCGUAAAGCGCACGUAGGCGGACUGGAAAGUUGGGGGUGAAAUCCCGGGGCUCAACCCCGGAACUGCCUCCAAAACUUCCAAUCUAGAGAUCGAGAGAGGUGAGUGGAAUUCCAAGUGUAGAGGUGAAAGUCGUAGAUAUUUGGAGGAACACCAGUGGCGAAGGAGGCUCACUGGCUCGAUACUGACGCUGAGGUGCGAAAGCGUGGGGAGCAAACAGGAUUAGAAACCCCAGUAGUCC